ACUCCUACGGGAGGCAGCAGUGGGGAAUAUUGGACAAUGGGCGCAAGCCUGAUCCAGCCAUGCCGCGUGGGUGAAGAAGGCCCUAGGGUUGUAAACCCCUUUCAGCGGGGAAGAUAAUGGCGGUACCCGCAGAAGAAGCCCCGGCUAACUCCGUGCCAGCAGCCGCGGUAAUACGGAGGGGGCUAGCGUUGUUCGGAAUUACUGGGCGUAAAGCGCGCGUAGGCGGACCUGCAAGUCGGGGGUGAAAGCCCGAGGCUCAACCUCGGAACUGCCUUCGAUACUGCGGGUCUCGAGUCCGGGAGAGGUGAGUGGAAUUCCUAGUGUAGCGGUGAAAUGCGUAGAGAUC
rnacentral:rRNA from 1 species